CUCUAAAAUAACCUAUCGUGAAGAAAACAGGACAGAAUGUAAAGGAAACAGAAGUGGCAGCCUUUAUAAAAAAAGGAACAGAAGAGCUGUGAACAAAGCUCAUCUAUUUCAAAUAAACGUGUUUUAAAAAGUAGAUUGACAUCCGACGUUAAAUUUCAUUCUGACAAAUUACUGAGCAGCUGGAGAUACUGUUUUCCUGUGUAGGUUAUAAUAAUUAUUGGAUGCAAAGAUUAUUAGUGUUUCCGGGUUGGAUUUUUGAGAUAGUAUGCAAAUCACAAGCACAGUUUCAAUAAAACGUGUUCUAUGAGGCACACUGAACUUUGUAUUACUUGGAAUUGAGAAGAGCAAAUUUGCGGACAAACCAGUGCCUAUAUCAUAAACAUAAACACAAAAAAUAGCUGUUACUGUGCAGGCUGUCUGUCUUCAAUUUCUUAAAGGGUAAUGUUAUUGCUAACUCCAUAUUUUCGGGGGGAAAUCCCAUGCUUUUAUUCAAAUGAACAGUCCAUACUGACUUUUGAUCAACUCUCAAAGUGUUUUUGCAUCUGCAUUUUGAGCAUGACCAAUCAUUUUUUUUCCCCCAAGUAAUGGAAAUAAUUUUGCAUGGCCUCCGUCUAACCCAGAAAGCAUGCUCUUACUACCUAUGCAAACAACUAAGAAAAAAUACAGACUACUUACACUCAGUGUAAGUUUGAAAAAAAGAAGACAUCUCUUAGAUUAUGGAGCUCUAUUUUUGGAUUUGUAAUUCUAUAAUCAGUAUUGAAAAGCAUGAAUGUGAUUUUUUGUUUUGCUUUGCAUGUGUUUCUCUUUGCCGAUUUUUUUUUUUUUUAAUCAUUGGCAAGAUUGUAUGUAAAAUAAGUAUUUUGCAAGCAGGAGUGGAAAUGGGUGUGUUGAACACACAGUGGUUUAUAUACUGUAUUUAGCCA
rnacentral:lncRNA from 1 species